UACAGAGGGGGCAAGCGUUGUUCGGAAUUACUGGGCGUAAAGGGCGCGUAGGCGGCCUGCUAAGUCGAACGUGAAAUCCCCGAGCUCAACUCGGGAACUGCGUCCGAUACUGGCAGGCUUGAAUCCGGGAGAGGGAUGCGGAAUUCCAGGUGUAGCGGUGAAAUGCGCAGAUAUCAGGAGGAACACCGGUGGCGAAGGCGGAUCUCUGGGUCUUACCUGACGCUGAGACGCGAAAGCGUGGGGAGCAAACAGG
rnacentral:rRNA from 1 species